GAUGAACGCUGGCGGCGUGCCUAAUACAUGCAAGUCGAGCGAACGGACGAGAAGCUUGCUUCUCUGAUGUUAGCGGCGGACGGGUGAGUAACACGUGGAUAACCUACCUAUAAGACUGGGAUAACUUCGGGAAACCGGAGCUAAUACCGGAUAAUAUUUUGAACCGCAUGGUUCAAAAGUGAAAGACGGUCUUGCUGUCACUUAUAGAUGGAUCCGCGCUGCAUUAGCUAGUUGGUAAGGUAACGGCUUACCAAGGCAACGAUGCAUAGCCGACCCGAGAGGGUGAUCGGCCACACUGGAACUGAGACACGGUCCAGACUCCUACGGGAGGCAGCAGUAGGGAAUCUUCCGCAAUGGGCGAAAGCCUGACGGAGCAACGCCGCGUGAGUGAUGAAGGUCUUCGGAUCGUAAAACUCUGUUAUUAGGGAAGAACAUAUGUGUAAGUAACUGUGCACAUCUUGACGGCACCUAAUCAGAAAGCCACGGCUAACUACGUG
rnacentral:rRNA from 1 species